AAAACCCCGGAUCCAAUCCCAAAAUCCCGGUUCCAGUCCCAAAGUCCCGGUUCCAAUCCCAAAAUCCCGGUUCCAAUCCCAAAACCCCGGAUCCAAUCCCAAAACCCCGGAUCCAAUCCCAAAACCCCGGAUCCAAUCCCAAAACCCCGGUUCCAAUCCCAAAAUCCCAGAUCCAAUCCCAAAAUCCCGGUUCCAAUCCCAAAACCCCGGAUCCAAUCCCAAAACCCCAGAUCCAAUCCCAAAACCCCAGAUCCAAUCCCAAUACCCCGGAUCCAAUCCCAAAAUCCCGGUUCCAAUCCCAAAACCCCGGUUCCAAUCCCAAAAUCCCGGUUCCACUCCCAAACUCCCGGUUCCAAUCCCCAAACCCCGGAUCCAAUCCCAAAACCCCAUUUCCAAUCCCAAAAUCCCGGAUCCAGUCCCAAAAUCCCGGUUCCAAUCCCGGGACAGCCGGGGAGGACGCGGCUCCCGAAGCGGCAGCUCCAGAAUUCCGGGGUUGGCGCCCGGAAUUCCGGGGUUGGCAGCGGCCGCCGCUUUUCUCCCGCCCGGAGCGGGGAUCUCCGGUGGGCCGUGAAAUCCCAAUCUGCGCCGGGAAUUAUCGGGAAAUUCAUCCGGAGCCUCGCGGCUGCCGGCACCGACCGGAGCCGGCUUUCCUCCUGAAUCCUGCUGCUCCGUGGCCUCGGAACCCCGGGGUCUUGGGAUCCUGGGAACCCGGAAUUCCAGAAGCCAAAGAUCUCAGAACCCCAGAAUUCCAGAAUUCCAGAGCCCCAAAAUCCCAGAAUUCCAGAGCCCCCAAAUCCCAGAAUUCCAGAGCCCCAGAAUUCCAGAAUCCAACAAACCCAGAACUCCAGAAUCCAAAAAUCCUGGAAUUCCAGAAUCCAAAGAUCCCAGAACCCCAAAAUCCCAGAAUUCCAGAGCCCCAGAAUCCCAGAAUCCAAAAAUCCUGGAAUUCCAGAAUUGCAGAAUCCAAAGAUCUCAAAACCCCCAAAUCCCAGAAUUCCAGAGCCCCAGAAUUCCAGAAUCCAAAAAUCCUGGAAUUCCAGAAUCCAAAAAAUCCCAGAACCCCGAAAUCCCAGAAUUCCAGGACCCCAGAAUUCCAGAAUUCCAGAAUCCAAAGUUCCCAGAAUUCCAGGACCCCAGAAUUCCAGAAUCCAAAAAUCCUGGAAUUCCAGAAUCCAAAGAUCCCAGAACCCCAGCAUUCCAGAACCCCAGAAUUCCAGAAUCCAAAGUUCCCAGAAUUCCAGAAUCCCAGAAUUCCAGAACCCCAGAAUCCCAGAAUCCCAGGAUUUCCGAGCUUGGGAAAAAUCCCUCCGCAUUCCAAGCCCGGCUCACCCAGGAAUUCCAGGAAGGAGAUUCCUCCCGGAAUUCCCGACUCGGGGAGAGAAAAUCCGGGAAUUUCGUGGCGCCAAAAAAAAACCCCAAAACUUGGGAAGCGGUUGGGGGGACGACACAAAACCCCCGGGAGCGGCUCCGAGGGCGGGAAUCCCGCUCCGGAAUCAUCCCAAGGCUUUUCCAGGGAUUUCCAGGGGUGUUGUUUUUCCCUCUGGAAUUUUCCUCCCAGGCCCUUCCUGGCGCUAAUUCCCGGAAUCUCCUUGUUUUCGUCUGGGAUUUG
rnacentral:lncRNA from 1 species